CCUACGGGAGGCAGCAGUGAGGAAUAUUGGUCAAUGGGCGGAAGCCUGAACCAGCCAAGUCGCGUGAGGGAAGACGGUCCUAUGGAUUGUAAACCUCUUUUGUCGGGGAGCAAAAGACGCCACGCGUGGCGUUCCGAGAGUACCCGAAGAAACAGCAUCGGCUAACUCCGUGCCAGCAGCCGCGGUAAUACGGAGGAUGCGAGCGUUAUCCGGAUUUAGUGGGUUUAAAGGGUGCGCAGGCGGAAGAUCAAGUCAGCGGUAAAAUUGAGAGGCUCAACCUCUUCGAGCCGUUGAAACUGGUUUUCUUGAGUGAGCGAGAAGUAUGCGGAAUGCGUGGUGUAGCGGUGAAAUGCAUAGAUAUCACGAAGAACUCCGAUUGCGAAGGCAGCAUACCGGCGCUCAACUGACGCUCAUGCACGAAAGUGUGGGUAUCGAACAGGAGUAGAUACCCUAGUAGUC
rnacentral:rRNA from 1 species